rnacentral:rRNA from 1 species
AGUGGCGGACGGGUGAGUAACGCGUAAGAAUCUAACUUCAGGACGGGGACAACAGUUGGAAACGACUGCUAAUACCCGAUGUGCCGCAAGGUGAAACCUAAUUGGCCUGGAGAAGAGCUUGCGUCUGAUUAGCUAGUUGGUGGGGUAAAGGCCUACCAAGGCGACGAUCAGUAGCUGGUCUGAGAGGAUGAGCAGCCACACUGGGACUGAGACACGGCCCAGACUCCUACGGGAGGCAGCAGUGGGGAAUUUUCCGCAAUGGGCGAAAGCCUGACGGAGCAACGCCGCGUGAGGGAGGAAGGUCUUUGGAUUGUAAACCUCUUUUCUCAAGGAAGAAGUUCUGACGGUACUUGAGGAAUCAGCCUCGGCUAACUCCGUGCCAGCAGCCGCGGUAAUACGGGGGAGGCAAGUGUUAUCCGGAAUUAUUGGGCGUAAAGCGUCCGCAGGUGGUCAGCCAAGUCUGCCGUCAAAUCAGGUUGCUUAACGACCUAAAGGCGGUGGAAACUGGCAGACUAGAGAGCAGUAGGGGUAGCAGGAAUUCCCAGUGUAGCGGUGAAAUGCGUAGAGAUUGGGAAGAACAUCGGUGGCGAAAGCGUGCUACUGGGCUGUAUCUGACACUCAGGGACGAAAGCUAGGGGAGCAAAAGGGAUUAGAUACCCCUGUAGUCCUAGCCGUAAACGAUGGAUACUAGGCGUGGCUU